rnacentral:rRNA from 1 species
UGGGGAAUUGUUCGCAAUGGGCGCAAGCCUGACGACGCAACGCCGCGUGGAGGAUGAAGACUUUCGGGUCGUAAACUCCUUUCGACCGAGAUGAAUUCCUGCCGACCCAACACGUCGGCGGGGUGACAGUAUCGAGGGAAGAAGCCCCGGCUAACUCCGUGCCAGCAGCCGCGGUAAUACGGGGGGGGCAAGCGUUGUUCGGAAUUACUGGGCGUAAAGGGUUCGUAGGUGGCCUGCUAAGUCACACGUGAAAUCCCUCAGCUUAACUGGGGAACUGCGUGUGAGACUGGCGGGCUUGAGUGCAGGAGAGGAACGCGGAAUUCCAGGUGUAGCGGUGAAAUGCGUAGAUAUCUGGAGGAACACCGGUGGCGAAGGCGGCGUUCUGGACUGCAACUGACACUGAGGAACGAAAGCCAGGGGAGCGAAACGGGAUUAGAUACCCCGGUAGUCCUGGCCCUAAACGAUGAAUGCUUGGUGUGGC